rnacentral:sRNA from 1 species
UACGGAUACUUCAGGUCCACGUUGGUC